rnacentral:tRNA from 1 species
AGGAUAUUAGUUAAUAUAAUAUAUAACAUUAAAAUUGCAAUUUAAAAUUAAAAUUUAAUUAUAUCUUU